ncrna:Acyrthosiphon pisum (pea aphid) microRNA api-mir-34 precursor
UGGCAGUGUGAUUAGCUGGUUGUGUACAUAUUUGAUAUUAUACUCACGGCCACUAAGCACAUUCCACU